rnacentral:lncRNA from 10 species
CUCACCAGACCCUGCAGUUCUCUCUCUGUGGCGUUGAACUUCCUGGAACCAGGGUGCCGCAUGUCCUCCUCGUACUGCAGGUUGGUGAUGGUGAAGUUGAGGGUGAAUGGCACCAUGAAUGGGACUGUGGCUGCUGCAAGGAAGGAGAAAAGAAGGCCACGCCUGAGUCAGAUCUGAACUGACUGUAAGUCAAUUUCUGAGGACCCAGACGGAGUGCUUGAAGCAAGAGUCUGAAGCAGACAGGUUGAGAAAGGAGGGGAUGUCUCCUCUCCUGGGAAGAGUGACGACAUCUCUAGAAGCCAGGCAUGAAAGAAGAGAAUGAAAACUCCAUCCGGUGUGGAUUGAGGCAGAGACCCUACUCACUUCCUGUGGUUCCUCAAAAAAUUAAAAAUAGAACUAUGAGCCGGGCACGGUGGCUUACACCUGUAAUCCCAGCACUUUGGGAGGCCGAGGCGGGCGGAUCACUUGAGGUCAGGAGAUUGAGACCAGCCUGGCCAACAUGGUGAAACUCCCCGUCUCUACUAAAAGUAGAAAAAUUAGCCAGGCAUGGUGGCAGGUGCCUGUAAUCCCCGCUACUCAGGAGGCUGAGGCAGGAGAAUCACUUGAACCCGGGAGGUGGAGGUUGCAGUGAGCUGAGAUCACUCCACUGCACUGCAGUCUGGGCAACAGAGGAAGACUCCGUCACAAAAAACAAAAAAAGAAACAAAAAAAAAAAACCUGUGAGCUGAGCAUGGUGAUUGAUGCCUGUAGUCCCAGUGACUUGACAGGCUGAGGCAGGAGGAUGGCUUGAGCCCAGGAAUUGGAGGCUGCAGUGAGCUAUGAUUGUGCCACUGCACUCCAGCCUGGGUGACAGAGCAAGAUCUUGUCUCUAAAAUAAAUAAAUAAAUAAAAGUAGAACUACCAUAUGAUCCAGCAAUCCCACUUCUUGGAACAUAUACUGUGAAAGGAAAAUAAAUCUCGAGACCCCAAAAUCACAAAGCCAAAGGGAAAAGUCAGGUUGAGAACUACAUCAGGCAAACCAGCCUCCCAUUUCAUUCCCAAAUAAGAUAGCUACCAAAUUGUUUGUUUGUUUGUUUGUUUGUUUGUUUUAGACGGGGUCUCCCUCUGUCGCCCAGGCUGGAGUGCAGUGGCUCAGUCUCGGCUCACUGCAACCUCCACCUCCCAGGUUCAAGUGAUUCUCCUGCCUCAGCCUCCUGAGUAGCUGGGAUUACAGGCGCGCACCACCACGCCUGGCUAAUUUUUUUUGUUUUUAGUAGAGAUGGGGUUUCAGCAUGCUGGUCAGGCUGGUCUCGAACUCCUGACCUCGUGAUCUGCCUGCCUUGGCCUCCCAAAGUGCUGGGAUUACAGGCGUGAGCCACCGCACCCGGCCAAUAGCUACCAAGAUUUAAAAAGCAACAUACCUCCCUCAAAAUUUGCCCACAAGGAAAUUCUUUGUGGGACUCAAGAUAUUUACCCUAAAACAGUUCUGUUGAAUUUCACCUUGGCAAUGUAAAUGGACAGCUUAUCUUUACAGAUGCGGGACAGAAAGUCAUCCCUCCGCUCGCCUGAGAGAAAUGCAUAUCUGAUUGCUUCCUCUGCCCUAUUGUUCAUGUAAAAAUGCAGAUUUAUGGACCCAGACUAAGGUUUAAGUGACUAUUCCUCUACCUCCCUCUCACGUGUAAACUGUGUAUUCAGUGAAAGGCUAAUCAAAGACUCAAAAGUAGCCGGGUGCAGUGGCUCACGCCUGUAAUCCCAGCACUUUGGGAGGCUGAGGUGCGCGGAUCACAAGAUCAGGAGAUCGAGACCAUCCUGGCUAACACGGUGAAACCCCGUCUCUAGUAAAAAUACAAAAAAUUAGCCAGGCGUGGUGGCGGGUGCCUGUAGUCCCAGCUACUCAGGAGGCUGAGGCAGGAGAAUGGCAUGAGCCCUGGAGGCGGAGCUUGCAGUGAGCCGAGAUCGCACCACUGCACUCCAACCUGGGCGACAGAGCGAGACUUAAUCUCAAAAAAAAAAAAAAAAAAAAAAAAAAAGACUGAAAAGUAUGCAACCAUUUGUCUCUUACCUACCUAUAACCUGGAAACCGGCCCCCUCCCCACCCCCCCGCCCACGCCGCUGCCACUUCAAGUUGCCCUGCCUUUCCAGACCAAGCCAUUGUAUCUUACACAUCUUGAUUGAUGUCUCAUGUCUCCCUAAAGUGUAUAAAAACAAGCUGCACCCUGACCACCUUCGGCAAAUGUCAUCAGGACCUCCUAAGGCUGUCACAGGCGUGUUCUCAACCUUGGCAAAAUAAACUUUCUAAAUGGAUGGAGACCUAUCUCAAAUACUUUGAGUUCACAAUCCAAACAAAAUCAAAUCAGUAUCUCCAAGAGACAUCUGCACCCCCCACGUUCAUUGUAGCAUUAUUCAGAGUAGCCAAGAUAUGGAAACAAUUUAAGUGUCCACCAAUGGAUGAACAGACAAAAAAAUUGUGGUUUAUCUACAGUGGAAUAUUAUUCGGUCUUUAAAAAGAAAGACAUUCUGCCAUAUAUGACAUCAUGGAUGAAUUGGAGGACAUUAUGCGAAGUGAAAUAAGCCAGUCACAAAAAGACAAUUACUGCAUGAUCUCACUCACGUGUGGAAUCUAAAAAAGUCAACCUCGUGGACAGGUGCGGUGCCUCAUGCCUGUAAUCCCAGCACUCUGGGAGGCUGAGGCAGGCAGAUCACCUGAGGUCAGGAGUUCGAGACCAGCCUGACCAACACAGUGAAACCCUAUCUCUACUAAAAAUACAAAAUUAGCCAGGCAUGGUGGUGCACGCCUGUAACCCCAGCUACUUGGAAGGCUGAGGCAGGGAAAUCGCUUGAACCCGGGAGGCGGAGGUUGCAGUUAGCCAAGAUCAUGCCAUUGCACUCCAGCCUGGGCAACAAGAGUGAAAAUCCAUCUCAAAAAAAAAAAAAAAGGAAAGAAAGAAAAAAUGCUAAAAGAGUUGGUCUUAAAUGUUCUCACAAUCUCACUAUUGCCCCUGCGCCGGCACUAACUGAGACUCAAACUCCUCGUUGUCGUAUUUGUCGGAAUAGUAAAUUUGUUUGUGGGACAUGACCGCUCCAUCUGCGAGCCUUCAGCCCCAAGCUGCCAACCUCCAAGCAACUCCCAGCAGCAGGUACUGGAACAGGCUGAAGAGAGGAAGUGUCAGGAAGGAAAUCCGUAUAGGAGAGCAUCUGGGAUGGAAGAGUGACCCUCAUGUCCUGGUCUACCCAGGGCUUUCUUAGUUUUACUAAAGUCCCUCAUCGAAGGAACUGCCUCAGGCUCAAGCAAACUGGGAUAUCCUACUGGUCAUCCUACUGCGAUCUGUGUCCUCCUGACCUGGCAUUUGUCCCUGCGGCUCUGGGACUGUGAUCAGUUUAGGUCCCUGGGCACAGCUCUGAGCUGCAGGAGUGAGGAGCUUUUGGGAGCACCUCCAAGGUGGAGAAGAAGAGGCUGGUACCUGGAUUAGAAGUCGGGCCUGGAUAAUGGCAGGAAGAUCAAGAGAAUGGGUUCAGUUCUACCCUGGCUACCUGGGGGUCUUCUCUUUGAGCUUUUUUUUUUUUUUUUUUUUUCCUGAGACAAGGUCUCACUCUGUUGCCCAGGCUGGAGUGCAGUGGUGCGAUCUCAGCUCACAGCAGCCUCUGCCUCCAGGGUUCAAGCGAUUCUCGUGCCUCAGCCUCCCGAGUAGCUGAGGCUACAGGCGUGUGUCACCAUGCCUGACUAAUUUUUGUAUUUUUUGGUAGAGACAGGGUUUCACCCUGUAGGCCAGGCUGGUCUCGAACUCCUGACCUCAGGUGAUCCACCUACCUCGGCCUCCCAAAGUGCUGGGAUUACAGGCGUGAGCCACCGCACCCAGCCCUUCCUCUUUGAGCUUCUGUUCUCUCAUCUAUAAAACGGGGAUGGUCAUCUGGACCACUGAAUCUACAAUCAGCAUGAGUGCAUGCUUGGAUAAUCUGCUAUGUCUGGCCUUCUGGCCCUUGAGGCUCCAGAGAGGUAGGAAGAGUCUCCUUCACUUGCUCAAUCCACCCUGGGAGAACCAAGUGACCAGACGAAUCCACUGAGCAUAAAGAAUGCCCAGGCCGGCCGGGCACCAUGGCUCAGGCCUGUACUCCCAGCAUUUUGGGAGGCUGAGGCAGGCCGAUCACUUGAGGCCAGGAGUUCAAGACCAGCCUGGCCAACAUGUUGAAACCCCAUCUUUACUAAAAACACAAAAAUUACCUGGGUGUGGUGGCACACGCCUGUAAUCCCAGCUACUAGGGAGGCUGAGGCAGCAGAAUCACUUGAACCCGGGAGGCGGAGGCUGCAGUGAGCCGAGAUCACGCCACUACACUUCAGCCUGGGCGACAGAGUAAGACACCGUCUCACAACACACACACACAUACACACACACACACACACAGAGAGAGAGAGAGAGAGAGAGAGAGAGAGAGAGAGAGAGAGAGAGAGAGAGAGUACACCCAGCCAGGCCUGCCCCUCUUGGACCCAUUGUCUUCCUUUGCUACCCAGCAACUGGGAAGAAAGGUAACUCUCUCUCCAGGAUUGGAGGAAACAGUAAGCAAACCUUUCUGCUUUUUGGUGAACCAAAAGUGGUGAAAGAUAAACUGUAACUCUGGCAAGGGCAGGUUAGACCAGGAACCCACCUCACAGUUCCACCCAUGCCCACUACACACACCCACUCCCACCAAUGCCCCCUUCCCUUCAUAAUCCAACUCCCUUAACUUCAUAUCCCCCUGGCCAGGCCUGGGCUGGGACAAUGACCACUGUUCAGGGACCCAGGAAGGGGCUCAGCAGCGCACAAUGAGAUCUGCCUAUGUUCUGUGUCUUCACAGCCCUUCUCCUGGGACGGGCAGUACAGAACUCAUUUCCUCGGCGGUGUGGGGGGACUCACGUACCCAGAAACUGCCAGGAGAGGAGAAAUCCUCAACCUUCAGUCUCUUCCCAGGCAAAGGAUAAAAACCAGCAUUUAGGAAUCAUCCAGAAACUGGAGUUGGAAUCCUGGCCGUGUGACUUUAAACAAAAGGCUUAAGCUCUCUGAGCCUGUUUUCUCUUCUGCAAAAUGGGGGAUAACGGUGCCCCUGUGUUCACCCGUCAGGCAGGUUCAACGGAGACAACACAUGUAAAGUGCAGGAACAUAUUACAUAGAAGGUGGAUCCUAUAAAAUGAUGGUGGGCCGGGCGCAGUGCCUCACGCCUGUAAUCCCAGUACUUUGAGAGGCUGAGGCGGGUGGAUCACCUGAGGUCAGGAGUUCAAAACCAGCCUGACCAACAUGGUGAAACCCCCAUCUCUACUAAAAAUAGAAAAAAAAAAUUAGCUGGGCAUGGUGGCAGGCACCUGUAAUCUCUGCAACUCAGGAGGCUGAGACAGGAGAAUUGCUUGAACUGGGGAGGCAGAGGUUGCAGUGAGCCAAGAUUGCGCCACUGUACUCCAGACUGGGCGACAGAGUGGGACUCUGUCUCAAAUAAAUAAAUAAAAUAAAAUGAUGGUCACAGAGGUCCUUUGGGCUCUUGGAGUUUCUCAGCCACAGGGUGGAGGGAGAGGCAACUGGGAGAUGGAUUUCUCCAGCUCUGGAAUUCUUCUAAAAAUUGCUCUUUGGGGAGAUGGAAAUUCAGAGAGGUUAGAUGUCUGG